rnacentral:rRNA from 1 species
GACGAACGCUGGCGGCGUGCUUAACACAUGCAAGUCGAACGGAAAGGCCCUUCUUUUGUGGGGUGCUCGAGUGGCGAACGGGUGAGUAACACGUUUGUAACCUGCCCUUGACUUUGGGAUAACGUCAUGAAACUUGGGCUAAUACCGGGUAGGAGCUCCUGCUGCAUGGUGGGCGUUGGAAAGUUUCGGCGGUUGGUGAUGGACUCGCGGCUUAUCAGCUUGUUGGUGGGGUAGUGGCUUACCAAGGCUUUGACGGGUAGCCGACCUGAGAGGGUCACCGGCGAAAUUGCACCGGGACUGAGGCACAGACUCGUCUGCGACGCAGCAGUGGGGAGUAUAGCACGAUGGGAGGAAGGCUGAUGCAGCAACGCCGCGUGCGGGAUGACGGCAUUCGGGUUGUAAACCGCUUUCGCCUGUGACGAAGAGUGAGUGACGGUAAUAGGUAAAGAAGCCCCGGCUAACUACGUG